rnacentral:rRNA from 1 species
AGCUCCAAUAGCGUAUACUAAUGUUGUUGCAGUUAAAAAGCUCGUAGUCGGAUUUCAGCUAAUUUUGUAUGAUCAACUAUAGAGAUUACAGAAUCAGUUUUUUGAUGCGAAACUUCAUCUGAUUAAUUUCUGGUGUAUGUCAAGCAUCUCUUUUACUUUGAGAAAAUUAGAGUGUUCAAAGCAGGUUUUUGCCUGAAUAUUACUCUUGGAAUAAUAUUAUAGGACUUUUGGUUCAAUGUUGUUGGUGUUGUUGGACCGGAGUAAUGAUUGAUAGGGACGGUUGGGGUGAUUCAUAUUGCAAAGCGAGAGGUGGAAUUCUUGGACCUUUGUAGGAUGAACAACUGCGAAAGCAUUUCACUAGGACGUUCCCGUUGAUCAAGAACG